GGUACCGGUUGAAUAAGGACCGGCUAACUCCGUGCCAGCAGCCGCGGUAAUACGGAGGGUCCAAGCGUUAUCCGGAUUCACUGGGUUUAAAGGGUGCGUAGGCGGUCAGGUAAGUCAGUGGUGAAAGCCUCCAGCUCAACUGGAGAAUGGCCAUUGAAACUACUUGACUUGAGUACAGUCGGAGCGGGCGGAAUGUAGCAUGUAGCGGUGAAAUGCAUAGAUAUGCUACAGAACGCCGAUCGCGAAAGCAGCUCGCUAGUCUGUUACUGACGCUGAGGCACGAAAGUGUGGGGAGCGAACAGGAUUAGAUACCCUGGUAGUCCACACCGUAAACGAUGAACACUCGGAGUUUGCCACUUAGUGGUACGCUCCCAAGCGAAAGCGAUAAGUGUUCCACCUGGGGAGUACGGCCGCAAGGCUAAAACUCAAAGGAAUUGACGGGGGCCCGCACAAGCGGAGGAGCAUGUGGUUUAAUUCGAUGAUACGCGAGGAACCUUACCUGGGCUAUAAUGCCUGUGGCAGCUCUGGAAACAGAGUUUUCCUCCGGGACACAGUGCAAGGUGCUGCAUGGCUGUCGUCAGCUCGUGCCGUGAGGUGUUGGGUUAAGUCCCUCAACGAGCGCAACCCCUAUUCUUAGUUGCCAUCAUUUCGGGUGGGCACUCUAAGAAAACUGCCUGCGUAAGCAGCGAGGAAGGAGGGGAUGACGUCAAGUCAUCAUGGCCCUUACACCCAGGGCUACACACAUGCUACAAUGGCUGGUACAAAGGGAAGCCACUUGGUAACAAGGAGCUAAUCCCAAAAGCCAGUCCCAGUUCGGAUUGGAGUCUGCAAUUCGACUCCAUGAAGCUGGAUUCGCUAGUAAUCGUGGAUCA
rnacentral:rRNA from 1 species